rnacentral:rRNA from 1 species
UCGAUAACGAACGAGACCUCGACCUGCUAAAUAGACGGACUCAUCCCUCGGGAUGGGUACGCGCUUCUUAGAGGGACUAUCGUGUGGUUCAGCCGGUGGAAGUUCGAGGCAAUAACAGGUCUGUGAUGCCCUUAGAUGUUCUGGGCCGCACGCGCGCUACACUGACAAGUUCAACGAGCAUACAACCUUGGGCGGCAGCCCUGGGUAAUCUUCUGAACGCUUGUCGUGCUGGGGAUCGACGUUUGUAAUCUAAUGUCGUGAACGAGGAAUUCCUAGUAAAAGUGGUUCAUCAAACCACGUUGAUUACGUCCCUGCCCUUUGUACACACCGCCCGUCGCUACUACCGAUUGAAUGGCU